UUUUAUGUGGCACCAACAUGGAUGCUCUUUCACAGCACUGGCACCUGAAGGACAAGCCUGUAUGUGUGGAUGAUAGCAAUUUUACUUAGCAUGAUGCAUCU